UACAGAGGGGGCAAGCGUUGUUCGGAAUUACUGGGCGUAAAGGGCGCGUAGGCGGCCUUCUAAGUCGAACGUGAAAUCCCCGGGCUCAACCCGGGAACUGCGUCCGAUACUGGAAGGCUUGAAUCCGGGAGAGGGAUGUGGAAUUCCAGGUGUAGCGGUGAAAUGCGUAGAUAUCUGGAGGAACACCGGUGGCGAAGGCGACAUCCUGGACCGGCAUUGACGCUGAGGUGCGAAAGCGUGGGGAGCAAACAGG
rnacentral:rRNA from 1 species